rnacentral:rRNA from 1 species
AACGAACGCUGGCGGCAUGCCUAACACAUGCAAGUCGAACGAGACCUUCGGGCUUAGUGGCGCACUGGUGCGUAACGCGUGGGAACCUGCCCUUAGGUCCGGAAUAACUUCCCGAAAGGGGUGCUAAUACCGGAUAAUGUCCCCGGACCAAAGGUUUAUCGCCUUUGGAUGGGCCUGCGUUGGAUUAGCUAGUUGGUAGGGUAAAAGGCUCCCAAGGCUAGGUGACAUAGAUGGUUUGAGAGGAAGAGCAGCCACACUGGCACUAGGAGACGGUCCAGACUCCUACGGGAGGCAGCAGUGGGGAAUAUUGGACAGUGGGCGAAAGCCUGAUGCUGCAAUGCCGCGUGAGUGAUGAAGGCCUUGGGGUUGUAAAGCUCUUUUACCCGGGAUGAUAAUGACGGUACCGAGAGAAUAAGCUCCGGCUAACUCCGUG